rfam:Camelus ferus unplaced genomic scaffold scaffold310, whole genome shotgun sequence.
GAGGGUGUAGCUCAGUGGUAGAGCGCCUGCCUAGCAUGCACAAGGUCCUGGUUCAAUCCCCAGUACCUCCA